rnacentral:rRNA from 1 species
CGAGAAAGCCCGCAAGGGUGAGUAAACCGGCGAACGGGUGCGUAACACGUGGAUAAUCUACCUUCCUGACUGGGACAACUGGCCGAAAGGCUUGCUAAUACCAGAUAAGCCCACGGCGUCUUUGGACGCUGAGGGAAAAGGUGGCCUCUGUAUGCAAGCUAUCGCAGGGAGAUGAGUCCGCGGCCCAUCAGCUAGUUGGCGGGGUAAAAGCCCACCAAGGCUACGACGGGUAGCUGGUCUGAGAGGAUGAUCAGCCACACUGGAACUGAGACACGGUCCAGACUCCUACGGGAGGCAGCAGUGGGGAAUCUUGCGCAAUGGGCGAAAGCCUGACGCAGCAACGCCGCGUGUGUGAUGAAGGUCUUCGGAUCGUAUAGCACUGUCGCGAGGGACG